rnacentral:rRNA from 1 species
UACAGAGGGUGCGAGCGUUAAUCGGAGUUACUGGGCGUAAAGGCGCGUAGGCGGUUAUAUAAGUGAGAUGUGAAAUCCCUGGGCUUAACCUAGGAACUGCAUCUCAUACUGUAUGACUGGAGUAUUGUAGAGGGUAGUGGAAUUUCCGGUGUAGCGGUGAAAUGCGUAGAGAUCGGAAGGAACACCAGUGGCGAAGGCGGCUACCUGGACAAAUACUGACGCUGAGGCGCGAGAGCGUGGGGAGCAAACAGG